CGCUCGUCCCCUUCUUUCACUCUGACAGUGGACUUUUCAAGACAUGAAGACCCCAAGAAUUAGGAAUCUCUAGCUGGGGAAGGCUUCAGUAGGCAUUGUGUACUGGUUCACUUUGUCCAGACCUAGCAGAGCAGCCAGCUUGGAAACAGGAAACGUAAUGGCUCAGAGACUUCGAAAAUGUGUCUAAGUGGGUUUGCAGUUGCCCAUUCACCCACAAAUGAAAUAAGGACUGUCGUGGAGCAACCUCAUCAUCUUCCUAAAUUUAUUCCCCACCUCUAGUAGGAGACAGCACUGGAUGUGUUAAAGAGAUCUUCCAAGAGAACAGAGUAUCACUGUUAAGUCAUUACCACAUCGGUCUUAUCCCAAUAUAUGCUAAAAAGUGAAGUAAAGAACAUAGCACAUAGUUUAAACAUA